UAGUUUUGCAGACUCAGGCAUGUUCUAAUU
rnacentral:piRNA from 1 species